UUGAUGUACCUUUCUUCAAGUUCAAGGAAACCCCUCCUGUAGUCGGGGCUGGCAGAGCGGGUCUCAGCAACCCAGCGGAGGCUUUGCGGAGAAGGCGCAAUAGACAUGCGUGAGAAAUAUGCCAAGAACCAUUUUACCCGAGGAAAGGGAAGGCCGAGAGGGAAGGGAUCAAGGGCAACGGAGAGUUCCAACUUAGAAAAGUGUCGAAGGAAAUGCUUCGCUCGGGUUGGCAGCUCAGAAGAGGCAGCGAAACAAAAUCACUGGGAAAGUGAAGUUUUCAAUUAAUUGGUAACCUUUCUACCGGAGCUGGGAGCCCAGUUCGGGGGGUGACUGCCGGCUGGCCCAGGCGAAGAGGCGGAGAAUGCGGAACAGGCAUCCACGGAUUUCUCCCUGCGGGGCAAACUGUCAGGCUCACCGCGCCGAGGUCGGAUCGUCUCUCUGCUCGACUUACUCGGAAGUCUCUGCCGCUUCGUGGGUAUUUUCGGGCGGACGGCGUGUGUGCACGGGAGGGGUCUGCUGCAACUGGUCUUAUACGUGGGAAAUGCCUUCGCCCGUUAGCAAUGCGCAAGAGAGGGAAAGCCAGCUCCCUCGGGCUUGGGGUCUACUGUCGGCUGACCGCGAGCUGCAACAGCAUCAGACACGGGUGUGUUUUCACAUAACUCAAACAGCUCUGUCCUUCAUCUGCAUUUUGUUGUGCAGCUCGGGGAGCCGAGGAGAGGUGGCAAAACAGCCGUUGCCGAGAUGAGGCGCAGGCCUCGGCUCCCGCCUCGGUCACAGACAGGGCCUGGGAUGGGCCGUCGCGAAAUCGACUCGUGGGGGUGGC